rnacentral:rRNA from 1 species
CUGCCCCACCCUAAGUCCAACACUGAGUACGGUUGUUUGGAAAUGGCCCAGGGAGGGUGAAAGGCCCGUGGGGGUGGGGAUCACAGUGCUGCUAUGAGUAGACCUUGGAGUCGGGUUGUUUGUGAAUGCAGCCCAAAGUGGGUGGUAAACUCCAUCCAAGGCUAAAUACUGGCACGAGUCCGAUAGCAAACAAGUACCGUGAGGGAAAGUUGAAAAGUACUUUGAAGAGAGAGUAAACAGUACGUGAAACCGUUCAGAGGUAAACGGGUGGAGUUGAACUGCAAGCUCUGAGGAUUCAGCUGGUGAGCGUGGUUUAAGGCAUGGUUAUAACGGUCGUCCGUGCGGGUUCGCUUAACUGCGGGUCUCUGCCCUCGGGUGGGGAUGCUGGGGUACUUGUCAAGUACUACGCGCUCGUGAUGGUUCACCGGGCCGGCUUGCCAGUGCACUUUCUCGGAGUAGUCACCACGACCGGCGCUGCCGCUAGGCUGCUGGUGUUAAACCUGUCGUGUAUAGUCAUUGUGGCUUUAUGCGGUGGGGACGGCAGGUGACUCGUUGGCUUCGCCAUCGAGUGUUAUCAGCUGACAUCAGUGGUACUGUGCGGUGUGUCGGAGACGGCGGCUUGUGGUGUGUACGUGUGUGCCUGUUCGCUGACAGUGUCGGGUCUGGUUGUCAUGUGCUUGUAAAAGCAGGCCUGAUGAUGGCUCGGUGUUGUUCGGUGGGCGGUGGCAUGCGGGRCACCUGUAACGAGGGCCAAUAGUCUGUGGUGUAGUGGUAGACCUUCCACCCGACCCGUCUUGAAACACGGACCAAGGAGAGUAACAUGUGCGCGAGUCAAUGGGCGUUACGAAACCCAAAGGCGUAGUGAAGGUGAAUGUUCGGCUUGUCUGGACUGAGGUGAGAUCCUGGCGUUUCUCACGCGUGGUAUCGCCAUGCCCUUGAGCGUCAGGCGCAUCACCGGCCCGUCCCAUGGUGUGGGUGCUCGCCUCCGGGUGUUGCACCCCAUCGGGGUGGAGCAUGAGCGUACAUGUUGAGAC